UACGGAGGGGCCAAGCGUUAUCCGGAUUCAUUGGGCUUAAAGGGUUCGUAGGCGGUUUUGUAAGUCAGUUGUGAAAGCCCGUCGCUCAACGGCGGAACGGCCAUUGAUACUGCAAGACUUGAAUUAUUGGGAAGCAACUAGAAUAUGUAGUGUAGCGGUGAAAUGCUUAGAGAUUACAUGGAAUACCAAUUGCGAAGGCAGGUUGCUACGAAUACAUUGACGCUGAUGGACGAAAGCGUGGGGAGCGAACAGG
rnacentral:rRNA from 1 species